ACGAGCGGCGGACGGGUGAGCAAUGUUUGGGAAUCUGCCUAUUAGUGGGGGACAACCCGGGGAAACUCGGGCUAAUACCGCAUACGCACCAUGGUGGGAAGCCGGGGACCGCAAGGCCUGGCGCUAAUAGAUGAGCCCAAAUCGGAUUAGCUAGUUGGUGGGGUAACGGCCUACCAAGGCGACGAUCCGUAGCUGGUUUGAGAGAACGACCAGCCACACCGGAACUGAGACACGGUCCGG
rnacentral:rRNA from 1 species